CGAUUACAGCCUCAGAUCAAGCGGAGGAAAAGAAACUAACCAGGAUUACCUCAGUAAUGGCCAGUGAAUCCCUGUUCAGCGGCAGGUGUGGGAAAUGUGGCGUACAGAAGACCGACUCCCCGGCAUCGCUCAAUGGGCUCCAGUCCUUCUGAUCGAGUCUCACCCCGCGGACGGUCUUAGGCCGGUAGCAGCCUCUGGCACUCUGGGAUCAGAUCUUCUUGGAGUCAGGUUGCUUGGGAAUGCAUCCCAAAACAUGUGGCAAACUCCAUCUAAGGCUAAAUACGUUCACGAGACGAAUAGCUAAAAAGUACUGUAAGGAAAAGUUGAAAAGAACUUUGAAGAGAGAGUUCAAGAGGGCAUGAAACCGUUGAGAGGUAAACUGGUGGGGUCUGUGCAGUCCGCCCGCAGGAUUUAACACGGCAGGCAGGUCGGUCACCUUGAGCAGUGGAUGCCCUUGCAGGACUGCAGCCCAGGAAGACCGGGCCCCGCAGGGCCCAUUUCCUCUCUGGCGGUGCACCGCGACUGGCUGGGAAGGCCCACGGGCAGGUGGCUCUCUGCUCUGGCAGAGAGUGUUACAGCCCCCUGACAGCAGUUUUGCUGUUUCCGUGAGGCCGAGGGAGAUUGACCUCUGCUGGGCCCUUCUCCGGCAACUGUCCUGGCCCCUCUUGGGUCGCCGGGGCGGCGACGGGGGACGGGGCCCCCUGCUCCCGGUGCGACUGUCGACUGGGUGGACUGUCCUCAGUGCGCCCCGACCGCGUCGCGCCGCGGGCGGGGAGCCCACAAAGGGCACCAGGGGUCUGCGGUGAUGUUGGUUAACCACCCAACCGUCUUGAAACACAGGCCAAGGAGUCUUAACCCGUACGAAAGUCAGAGGGCUGAAUGAAACCCUGUGGUGCAAAGAAGGUGAGGGCCGGCACGUGCCGAUUGCAGUGGGAUCCUGUCGCGGUGGGUGCACCAGCGACCCGUCUCGCCCGCUCUGUCAGGGAGAUGGAGCAUGAGCGUGUGUGAUAGGACCCGAAAGAUGGUGAACCAGGCCUGGUGGAGGUCCUUAGCUGUCCUGAUGUGCAAGGUCGUCCGACCUGGGUAUAGGGGCGAAAGACUAAUCGAAUCAUCUAGUAGCUGGUUCCCUCCGGAGAUUCCCCUCAGGAUAGCUGGUGCACGGAAACCAGAGUUUUGUGCAGUGAGCUCUCGCUGGUCCUAGAAAAUCCGGGGGAGAUGGUGUAAAUCUCGUGCCGGGCCGUACCCGUAUCCGCAUACCCGUAUCCGCAGCAGGUCUCCACGGUGAACAGCCUCUGGCAUGUUGGAACAAUAUAGGUAAGGGAAUUGGCAAGUCAGAUCCGUAACUUCCAGAUAAGGAUUGGCUCUAAGGGCUUGGUCGGUCAGGCUGGGGCGGGAAGCGGGGCUGGGCGCACGCCGUGGCUGACGAGGUGUCUCACCCUCCAUGCCCCCACCCCCGGGGGCGGUUCCGACUCUGGAUGCAAGCUGGGCCCUGCCUGUGGAUCUCCCCAGCUGCGGUGGUCGCCUCUCUCUGUUCCCCUCCCAGGGUUCGGGGCUGACGUUCCGCCUCGGCCGACGCCUAGCAGCUGACUUCGAACUGGUGCGGACCAUGGGAAUCUGACUGUUUAAUUAAAACAAAGCAUUGCGAAAGGCCUGCAGUGGGUGUUGACGCGAUGUGAUUUCUGCCCAGUGCUCUGAAUGUCAAAGUGAAGAAAUUCAAUGAAGCGCAGUUAAACAGCGGGAGUAACUAUUACUCUCUUAAGGUAGCCAAAUGCCUCAUCAACUAAUUAGUGAUGCGCAUGAAUGAUGAACGAGAUUCCCACUGUCCCCACCUACUAUCUAGCGAUACCACAGCCAAUGGAACAGGCUUGACAGAAUCCACGGGGAAUGAAUACCCGGUUGAGCGUGCCUCUGUUCUGGCACGGUGAAGGGACAUGAGAGGUGUAGGAUAAGUGCGAGGUUCUCGGGGCUGCUGGUGAAAUAUCACUACUCAUAAUUUUUUCAAUUACCCAGUGAGGUGGGGCAAACCCCAUGGGGCUUUCACAUGGCCCGCCGUGCGCAACCCGCUCCGGGGACAGUGGCAGGUGGGGAGUUUGACUGGGGCGGGACACCUGUCAAACGAUAAAGCAGGUGUCCUAAGGCGAGCUCAGGGAGGACAGAAUCCUCCCGCAGAGCAGAAGGGCAAAAGCUUGCUUGAUCUUGAUUUUUCAGUAUGAAUACAGACCGUGAAAGCGGGGCCUCACAAUCCUUCUGACUUUUUGGGUUUCAAGCAGGAGGUGUCUGAAAAGUUACCACAGGGAUAACUGGCUUGUGGCAGCCAAGUGUUCAUAUCGACAUCGCUUUUUGAUCCUUUCGAUGUCGGCACUUCUUAUCAUUGUGAAGCAGAAUUCCCCAAGCGUUGGAUUGGUCACCCACUUAAUAGGGAACGUAAGGUUGGUUUAGACCGUCAUCAGACAGAUUAGUUUUACCCUACUGAUGAUGUGUUUUUGCAAUAGUAAUCCUGCUCAGUACAAGAGGAACCGCAGGUUCAGACAUUUGGUGUAUGUGCUUGGCUGAGGAGCCAAUGGGGUGAAGCUACCAUCUGUGGGAUUGACUUAACGCCUUCAAGUCAGAAUUCCCCCGCCCCUAAACCGUAACAAUACCGCAGCGUUGUCGAGCCUCGGUUGGGCUAGGAUAGCCGGCCUCUGGGCUGGUGCAUGGAGCCACACAAGAAAAUGAUCGGUGCACAUGUGAGUAGUAAGUAUACCCCUUGGAGUCCCCUUUUAGUUCAUGCU
rnacentral:rRNA from 1 species